GAGCCUUUCCAGUAAAAAUGCGAAGCACCUACGCGGGAAAACCCACCCGCUGGGCUGAUUUGCGAUCCCGCUUCGAUAUGUUGGAAAAUGCGACAAAACAAAGGCUUAGAGCGAUUGCGAUGAUUCUGUUUAAACAAGAACCGCUCUAUUAUGGCA
rnacentral:misc_RNA from 1 species